UCCUAUUCCGAAAGUAUUUCAUCGGAGUUGUACAGAUUUGCUAAGUGUGGCCGCGACUUUUCGCGUUUUAUGAUCUCGCUUCUUUAAUUCGGACUAAGUAUCACCAUGUCGGUGGCGUUCGCAUCUCAUAGGCAGCGUGGGAAGGGCGAUAUUACCCCCGCCGGAAUCCAAAAGUUACUGGAUGAAAAUAACCAUUUGAUUCAGAGUAUUAUGGACUUCCAGAGCAAGGGCAAAACAACUGAGUGUUCACAGUAUCAACAAAUAUUGCACAGAAAUUUAGUAUAUCUGGCCACAAUAGCAGACUCGAAUCAGAACAUGCAAUCUCUCCUCCCAGCUCCACCCACUCAAAACAUGCCCAUGGGCCCCGGCGGGAUGAGCCAAAGCGGAGGCCCGCCUCAGCCCAGUCACGGUCACAACAUGCCCGCCGAGGGUAUGGUUGGCUGCGGCCCCCCGGCCCCGCACAUGCAGAGCCAGAUGAAUGGACAGAUGCCUGGGCCCAAUCACAUGCCCAUGCAGGGCCCCGGUCCAGGCCCUAACCAGCCCCCAAACAUGCCCGCCGGCUCGAUGAACAUGCCUCCGAGCAGCCACGGCUCAAUGGGCGGCUACAACCACGCUGUCCCUUCGUCGCAGGGCAUGCCGGCGCAAAGCCAGAUGAACAUGACGCAGGGCCAGCCCAUGGGCAACUACGGACCGCGACCCAACAUGAACAUGCAGCCCAAUCAAGGUCCCAUGAUGCAUCAACAGCCUCCCUCCCAGCAGUACAGCAUGCCACCGGGCGGCGGCGGCCAGCACUACCAAGGCCAGCAGAACCCAAUGGGGAUGAUGGGCCAGGUUAACCAGGGGAAUCAUGUCAUGGGGCAGAGGCCGAUGCCCCCGUAUCGACCACCACAACAAGGACCCCCUCAGCAGUACCCAGGGCAGGAAGACUACUAUGGGGACCAGUACAGUCACGCAGGACAGGGAGCCUCAGAAGGUAACGCCCAGUACGGCCAACAGCAAGAGGCUUACCAGCAAGGCCCCCCGCCACAGCCGGGUUACCCUCCUCAGCAGCAGUACCCAGGUCAGCAGGGCUACCCGCCACAGCAGCAGGGCUACGGUCCUUCCCCGAAUGCCCCGGGACAGUACCCCAAUUACCCGCAGGGACAGGGGCAGCAGUACGGUGGUUAUCGCCCCCCUCAGCCCGGACCUCCGCAGGGCCAGCAGCAGCGCCCUUACGGGUACGACCAGGUGAGUAUGGGCCCAGCACGGUGAAGAGCGACUACAGUUUUCUGCACACGGCCGUAGUAUGUCCCUCAUUUUUGACUUGCUGCUGCUGUAUAUUUUGUGCAUGCUCUCAUUGUAUUUCAGCUUACUUGUGUGCGUCGCUAUUGCCAUUCCUUUGUUAAUCUCGGUUGUCUAUUCUGGCUAAUGUGGCAUGCCCCCUCCAGGGAAAAAUAUGAGGGCUUCUUCCUUAAGUUUGCUGCACACUGCCGUGGUUCUUCUUGCCCUGUAAUAAUAUCCUGUGGUCUCAUGUUGGGGACCAGAGCUACACUUUGAUAUCUUUAUCUUUGAAUAUUCAGGGGCACAUGAGGAAAUAAAGGCCCGGGGAUUUGAACCCCCUGACUAGCUCUAUAAGAAGCAAAGGGCCAGUAUGGAAAUUACCAGCAAUGAGAAACGCCCACACAGAUGAUAUGAGAGUUACGGCAGCACAAACAAAACGAAAAAUCCUUUUUUUCCUUUUUUUUCCCUGUUUUUUUUUUUUUUUUUGGGGGGGGGGUGGCCUCAUAACCGCAAUCACUUCCUUCCCUCGCCACCAUCUCGUGGUCCAGUAUGUCUUGAGAGUGGCGGUGCCUUAAAGUUGGAGCUGCCCUUCACCUCCAUCCAGCAUUGCGCCGACUGUACGACAAAAUCCAAAAGUGGUUCUACUGUGGUUCUUGCUUCAGGUCCGCGUUGUUGAUUAAAAGAAGCAAUAACGCCGGCGGUAGAGUUGGAUGAUUAAGUGUCACUAGUUUCCUUUUUGGUCAUGUAGCACGUCGCGAUAAGCGUUCAAAAUGAUUCGCAAUUUUGCUUCCCUCAAAUCGGACUUUUCAGAAGGAAACCAGACCUGCCACUAGAACCUGUUUUUAUAUGGGGAAAAAAAUAUCGUCGCUGUGCCAACUUUAGGGUUAAGAGUUUUUUUUUUUUUUUUUUUUUUUUUAAUUUUUGCACCACAAUUUGACAAAAAUGUAGCCCGAGAUGUGUUACUGUAUGUAGUGGACGCCAUUAUGAACUGAAGGCCCAAGUAGUGUACCUCGCUCACUUUUCCUCCUUUACAAGUGGAUCAAUUGUGUACAAAAGAGUAUAAAGGCCACACUGUAAAGGAAAAGGCAAAUUAUAUGACAUUAAAAAAAAUUUAAAAAAAAGUAGAAUCCUGUACGAGACAUUUUGGCUCUAUUCGCUCCUUUUCCGUUGUUAAAUUUUGCUAAGCAUACAAACUAAAACAGUUUUAAUUGUAUAGGUUUUAAGUAAGUUUUACUGUUUGAGAAAUAGUUUUGUUAUGAAGUCAACUUUUUUUUUUUAAGGAAAAGUCAUAAAACUGUUACAUGACUAACGUUUUGAGGGUAACGUCGGAAAAUUUACGUCACGUUUUGAGAAUACAGUCAAUUUUGUUGCAAGCGUAACAUUUUGAGAAUAAAGUCUUGGGGAAUAAAAAGUGAUGUUACAAAUUGUUACAUUUCAAAUUUAGUCUUCUAAAUUAUUUGUUCGCUUGAUAUUACAACUCAGUCAAUGUUUUUUCUUGUAAUUUAUCCAUCUUUUCGACUUAUUACAUUUAAUUUCGGGUAAAAUGAUGGCACAUUUUUACAUUUCUGUAUUUAUUCUCUGGGAAUCACAUGUAUUUCUCUUACAUUACGAUGACGUUUUCCUAUUUUUAUUAUGAUUAUUAGUCUGGUAAAAAUAGUGUUUCUCUCUCAAUACAUUCCCUCGUGGUUAUGACUUUGUCAGUUAGCUGCAAAUUUACCACUUCAAGUUCCCGAGCGUUCCUUAUUCAAUUUUUUAUCUUGGGAAAUGACCACUUUAAUAGCUGAAGACGUUUUUUUUUUUUUUUUUUUUUUGAUGACCGUUUCUUUCACGUUUCAGUGUGGCCCUCGUACUCCUUUGCCUAUUGACUGCAAAUAGAUGAAAUGUGAGGCCCUUUAACAGUAUUUGUGACAAUUGAUUAUGGCUUACAGUGCUGGAGUUUUUUUUUUCCGAGUCCACGUCUAGGCUGUCUGUCGUCUUUUAAGUCGUGUCGUACGUGAAUAUUAACAGCUGUCACAUAAUGUAACAUAAGAUGUGCAACCCAAUGUUCAUGUCACACGGAGGUGCUGCUCGUGCGCUUUCCCGUCGCUGGCUUGUUUUGGUGGUGCGUCCCAAAUGUACAGCAUCGAGAGGCCGGCACCGGCCUCUCCUAUUGUUUAUAUUUUGCUGUUUUUAAAUAUUUUGCAUUCCCAUCCACACAGCGCUCACAUUUGUGUCAUGGUAAUGUAUAACUGUACAUUCUGAUAAUAAAUUGGAGGAAU